ensembl:snRNA U6 U6 spliceosomal RNA
AUGUUCAGUUCAGCAGUUCAUCUCCUACAAGCAGAAUGACACAGGGAAGAUUAGCACGGCCCCCGUGCAAGGAGGCCAUGCAAAUUGAUACAGCAUUCAACAUUUGG